rnacentral:rRNA from 1 species
ACGAACGCUGGCGGCGUGCCUAAUACAUGCAAGUUGAGCGCUGAAGGUUGGUACUUGUACCAACUGGAUGAGCAGCGAACGGGUGAGUAACGCGUGGGGAAUCUGCCUUUGAGCGGGGGACAACAUUUGGAAACGAAUGCUAAUACCGCAUAAAAACUUUAAACACAAGUUUUAAGUUUGAAAGAUGCAAUUGCAUCACUCAAAGAUGAUCCCGCGUUGUAUUAGCUAGUUGGUGAGGUAAAGGCUCACCAAGGCGAUGAUACAUAGCCGACCUGAGAGGGUGAUCGGCCACAUUGGGACUGAGACACGGCCCAAACUCCUACGGGAGGCAGCAGUUGGGAAUCUUCGGCAAUGGACGAAAGUCUGACCGAGCAACGCCGCGUGAGUGAAGAAGGUUUUCGGAUCGUAAAACUCUGUUGGUAGAGAAGAACGUUGGUGAGAGUGGAAAGCUCAUCAAGUGACGGUAACUACCCAGAAAGGGACGGCUAACUACGUG